AGCGAACGCUGGCGGCAGGCUUAACACAUGCAAGUCGAGCGGGCACUUUCGGGUGUCAGCGGCGGACGGGUGAGUAACGCGUGGGAACGUGCCCUCUGGUUCGGAAUAACUCAGGGAAACUUGAGCUAAUACCGGAUACGCCCUUUUGGGGAAAGGCUUGCUGCCGGAGGAUCGGCCCGCGUCUGAUUAGCUAGUUGGUGAGGUAACGGCUCACCAAGGCGACGAUCAGUAGCUGGUCUGGGAGGAUGAACAGCCACACUGGGACUGAGACACGGCCCAGACUCCUACGGGAGGCAGCAGUGGGGAAUAUUGGACAAUGGGCGCAAGCCUGAUCCAGCCAUGCCGCGUGAGUGAUCAAGGCCUUAGGGUUGUAAAGCUCUUUUAUCCGGGACGAUAAUGACGGUACCGGAGGAAUAAGCCCCGGCUAACUUCGUG
rnacentral:rRNA from 1 species